GUAGUCUGCAACCCGACUACAUGAAGCUGGAAUCGCUAGUAAUCGCGAAUCAGAAUGUCGCGGUGAAUACGUUCCCGGGUCUUGUACACACCGCCCGUCACACCAUGGGAGUCGGUAACGCCCGAAGCCUGUGACCCAACCGAAAGGAGGGAGCAGUCGAAGGUGGGACCGGUGACUGGGGUGAAGUCGUAACAAGGUAGC
rnacentral:rRNA from 1 species